GGAGGGUGCGAGCGUUGUUCGGAAUUAUUGGGCGUAAAGCGCGUGUAGGGCGGGCAUGGGUCAGUCGGGUGUGAAAGCCCGGGGCCCAACCCCGGAAAUGCACUCGAAACUGCCUCGCUAGAGUCCCGGAGAGGAAGGCGGAAUUCCCGGUGUAGAGGUGAAAUUCGUAGAUAUCGGGAGGAACACCAGCGGCGAAGGCGGCCUUCUGGACGGUGACUGACGCUGAGACGCGAAAGCGUGGGGAGCAAACAGGAUUAGAUACCCUGGUAGUCCACGCCGUAAACGUUGGGUGCUAGGUGUCGCGGGUAUUGACCCCUGCGGUGCCGUCGCUAACGCAUUAAGCACCCCGCCUGGGGAGUACGGUCGCAAGGCUA
rnacentral:rRNA from 1 species